rnacentral:rRNA from 1 species
CAAUGGGCGAAAGCCUGAUGGAGCAACGCCGCGUGAGUGAAGAAGGAUUUCGGUUCGUAAAACUCUGUUGUAAGGGAAGAACAAGUACAGUAGUAACUGGCUGUACCUUGACGGUACCUUAUUAGAAAGCCACGGCUAACUACGUGCCAGCAGCCGCGGUAAUACGUAGGUGGCAAGCGUUGUCCGGAAUUAUUGGGCGUAAAGCGCGCGCAGGUGGUUUCUUAAGUCUGAUGUGAAAGCCCACGGCUCAACCGUGGAGGGUCAUUGGAAACUGGGAGACUUGAGUGCAGAAGAGGAUAGUGGAAUUCCAAGUGUAGCGGUGAAAUGCGUAGAGAUUUGGAGGAACACCAGUGGCGAAGGCGACUAUCUGGUC